rnacentral:rRNA from 1 species
UACAGAGGGCCCAAGCGUUGUUCGGAUUCACUGGGCGUAAAGGGUUCGUAGGCGGUCGGGUAAGUCUGACGUGAAAUCUUCAAGCUUAACUUGGAAACUGCGUCGGAUACUAUUCGGCUAGAGGAAUGGAGGGGAGACUGGAAUACUUGGUGUAGCAGUGAAAUGCGUAGAUAUCGAGAGGAACACCAGUGGCGAAGGCGAGUCUCUGGACAUUUCCUGACGCUGAGGCACGAAAGCCAGGGGAGCAAACGGG